UUUUAUGGAGAGUUUGAUCCUGGCUCAGAGUGAACGCUGGCGGCGUGCCUAAUACAUGCAAGUCGAACGAUGAAGCUUCUAGCUUGCUAGAAUGCUGAUUAGUGGCGCACGGGUGAGUAACGCAUAGGUCAUGUGCCUCUUAGUUUGGGAUAGCCAUUGGAAACGGUGAUUAAUACCAGAUACUCCCUACGGGGGAAAGAUUUAUCGCUAAGAGAUCAGCCUAUGUCCUAUCAGCUUGUUGGUAAGGUAAUGGCUUACCAAGGCUAUGACGGGUAUCCGGCCUGAGAGGGUGAACGGACACACUGGAACUGAGACACGGUCCAGACUCCUACGGGAGGCAGCAGUAGGGAAUAUUGCUCAAUGGGGGAAACCCUGAAGCAGCAACGCCGCGUGGAGGAUGAAGGUUUUAGGAUUGUAAACUCCUUUUGUUAGAGAAGAUAAUGACGGUAUCUAACGAAUAAGCACCGGCUAACUCCGUGCCAGCAGCCGCGGUAAUACGGAGGGUGCAAGCGUUACUCGGAAUCACUGGGCGUAAAGAGCGCGUAGGCGGGAUAGUCAGUCAGGUGUGAAAUCCUAUGGCUUAACCAUAGAACUGCAUUUGAAACUACUAUUCUAGAGUGUGGGAGAGGUAGGUGGAAUUCUUGGUGUAGGGGUAAAAUCCGUAGAGAUCAAGAGGAAUACUCAUUGCGAAGGCGACCUGCUGGAACAUUACUGACGCUGAUUGCGCGAAAGCGUGGGGAGCAAACAGGAUUAGAUACCCUGGUAGUCCACGCCCUAAACGAUGGAUGCUAGUUGUUGGAGGGCUUAGUCUCUCCAGUAAUGCAGCUAACGCAUUAAGCAUCCCGCCUGGGGAGUACGGUCGCAAGAUUAAAACUCAAAGGAAUAGACGGGGACCCGCACAAGCGGUGGAGCAUGUGGUUUAAUUCGAAGAUACACGAAGAACCUUACCUAGGCUUGACAUUGAGAGAAUCUGCUAGAAAUAGUGGAGUGUCUGGCUUGCCAGACCUUGAAAACAGGUGCUGCACGGCUGUCGUCAGCUCGUGUCGUGAGAUGUUGGGUUAAGUCCCGCAACGAGCGCAACCCCCUUUCUUAGUUGCUAACAGGUUAUGCUGAGAACUCUAAGGAUACUGCCUCCGUAAGGAGGAGGAAGGUGGGGACGACGUCAAGUCAUCAUGGCCCUUACGCCUAGGGCUACACACGUGCUACAAUGGGGUGCACAAAGAGAAGCAAUACUGCGAAGUGGAGCCAAUCUUCAAAACACCUCUCAGUUCGGAUUGUAGGCUGCAACUCGCCUGCAUGAAGCUGGAAUCGCUAGUAAUCGCAAAUCAGCCAUGUUGCGGUGAAUACGUUCCCGGGUCUUGUACUCACCGCCCGUCACACCAUGGGAGUUGUGUUUGCCUUAAGUCAGGAUGCUAAACUAGCUACUGCCCACGGCACACACAGCGACUGGGGUGAAGUCGUAACAAGGUAACCGUAGGUGAACCUGCGGUUGGAUCACCUCCUUUCUAGA
rnacentral:rRNA from 1 species